AGAGGAAUUGCUGGAUCAUAUGGUAAAUGUGUGUUUACCUUUAUAAGAAACUGUCAAAAUGUUUUCCAAAGUGGCUGUACCAUUCUGCAUUCCCACCAGCAAU
rnacentral:pre_miRNA from 1 species